rnacentral:lncRNA from 10 species
CAGAGUUACAGCCAUAUGUUACCUAGACAUUUAUAAUGCAAUAAACAAAAUGAACUCAUCUUCGGUAUUCUCUAUUUCAAUGAUUAGACCUACCCAGUCCCUCAAGUUAGAAACUAACUACACUUUUUUUGUCCUGCUCCCUUACCAAUCCCAAUACAAUCUAUCACAAAAUUCUGCCUGUGUUUUCUUCUAAGAUUCUCUCAUUCAUUUUUCUCUCCAUCUCUAACAUUGCUUGAUAUCAGGCACUGAUCAUGCCUUCAUCAUUUCUCUUUCUGACUUUUUCAAGAGCCUCCUGCAUUCUUACUUUUAGAUAUAUUCCUUUAAAUCACAUUUUCUGUACAUAUAUCAUAGUAUCGGUAUCAAAAACACAAAUCUGAUUUUAUUGGACCUUUUUUUCACUCACCACUAUACUAAAAAGGAAAAUUAAACUUAUGUUUUGCUAUUUUCAGUAUUUUCAAUAGCUUUCCAUUGCCUAGCAGUUAAAAUACAAUCUUCUUAACAUGGCCCAGCAGGCCAUCCCUAUGAACCUCUUGACCUUUAUCUUACAGCACUCUGCCUCUCACUUCAUGCCUCAGUUGUGCAGUAUUGCUUAUGUCCCUCAUCCAGAAACCAUGUAAUUUUUUAAUUUUAUGCCUUUAUUGAUACCAUACCUCCCUUUUCCUCCUUUCUUCUAUGUAUUCCUACUCAUUUUUAUGAAUGAGCCCUGGAAACCUCCUAUGAAGGUACCCACGGAGGCUUUCAUGAUUUCCUUGGUUGGAUUAUGUGUUUCUAUAUACUCAUUCAGAGUUAGCAAAACUUUACUUAUGCAUUGUUUUAUAAUUAUCCAUUCAUAUAUUUGCCUCCUUUACAAUACAGUGAUCUUUAAGUGUGGACACUGUGUCCUUUUCAUUUCUAUUCCCAGGACAUGGGCUAAUGCUUGAAACACAGGAGACCCUCAAGAAGUAUCUGCAAAAUGAACACUAGUGAGAAAGGACGGCUUUUGUUAGACUUCAUCCUAUAAAUCUUGAAGACUUUAACCUAGAAGCAUUGGAGGUGUCCAAUGAGGAACUUGGGUUUUAUGAACACUAAGUCCCUACCAAUCCCAACAGUAUGUCUGAAUCUCUGAGUUCCCAUAAGAAGAAAGAUUCUUCUCAAAAUAAAUCACUAAUAAGGGAAAUUUGGUGACUGAUUGAAGCUAAGGAAGAUAACCUCAUUUCUACUUCUGUAAGGAGGAAAAUACCCUCUCUGCCAAAGAUCCAGAGCUCAGUACCUGCACAGAUGUUCUUAUGGCCCAAGGAAAUCCUUCUCCACAUCUCUUGCCCUAUUACCUUGAAAGAAAAAGUGGCUGCCCCAAAUCCCCAAACGCCAUGAACAUUGAAGGAUGGUGCCCCUGUCCAUGUUGCAUUUGGAUGCCUCUUUGGAGUAUCAGGAGGAUUUGAGCAGUGGAAGCUCUUAAGAAAGAAAAUACAAAUUAUUUUAAGAAGAAAACAACCCCAUCAAAAAGUGGGUGAAGGAUAUGAACAGACACUUCUCAAAAGAAGACAUUUAUGCAGCCAAAAGACACAUGAAAAAAUGCUCA